UAGUCCCCCUGCCUUCCAUUCUCCGACAUGAGCUCCAGCAAGAAGCACCCAUCCAUGACCAUCAUCUCGACGAAGCGACCUCUGCUCGCCCCACGCCAUUUCUCAUCGAGGCCAUGGUAGGCUUCCAGCAGCUGAUCCGCCAUCUCCUCGACCGCAUCGACGAAGUCGCGGAGCGACUUGCCGGCGGAGCGCUUGACCAGGUGCAGCACCGCCCGACGUUUGUGCUCCUCCGCGAUGGGCUCGUCAGCGACGGUGGUGGCGGACGACUUGAAGC
rnacentral:lncRNA from 1 species